ensembl:lncRNA
AGAAAGAGAAUGAAAGGGAGAGAGAGAGUUCUCAGCUCAGAAAGCUAACUUAUAACAAGCAAAACCUUUUAUAAAGCCCAUACCUUGGGGAAGAGGAGGAGGCAAACAAGGCUUUGCAUCUUCAUUUUUGGGCAGAAUCCCUGAGAUUGUGAUAGGAAGAGGAAGGUCUAAGUAACCUUAGAGGGAAAACUUAGUUUCCUCUAAGAGGGGGAAAGUGCUCCUUGAUUUUAGGGGGAGAGAAAAUUGAGACACCACUCUAAGUGGCUCCAGUUAUAACUUUAAGAUUCGGAUAAGCAGAGGUCUGUCUUUUAGAGAUAAGCCCUCUUCUGGAAUGGGCUGGUGACCCCUCUAGAAUUACAAUGUUUUCUUUUUUUUUUUUUUUCAAUUUAAUAUUGACACUUGAGUUUAUUAAAGCACAAAACUAGUCUAAGACUUUUGGAACAUUCUCUAUAUGGUUGGAAAUAUUACGACAGGAAAUUAGUGAAUUACAAUGUUUUCAAGUCACUCUAGAAUCUAGACAGAGGGAUAGGCAUAGCUGGGUCAGAUUUAGAACCCAGAAUGAUGGGUACAGCCUGCACCACCCACAGCUGAGCGAGCACUGAAGAAGCAGGGUUGCUAAGGCAUCACAGUUCAGCCUGUCCUCCUCUCUCUUUCCAUUUUAAAGUCACUCGUCAUCAGUCUCCAGUCCAAAAUCUUCGAGACUGCAAGGCAUCAUCACUAGGCAAAAAUGCUGGAUGGGCACGCAAGCAACUCUGGAGAGCAAUCUCUAUUUUAUGGGUGAGGCCAAUGAGGCCUUUUCAGGUGAAAAAAAAAAUCACCCAGCAUCAUGCAGUCGGUUAGCAGUUAAGGCCGGACCUGACCCAGAGCCACAGACCACCACACAGGACCUUUGUAUGGGGCUGCUUUGUUGCUAAACGUUCAUUUCACCACAGGCAGACCUCAAAUACUUGAAUGCUUUCUGAGUAUCAGGCCUGCAGAAAUUCGUGGAAAUGCUGCAUUAGGUUUCUGCUCGCUGAAUUUGGUCAGGUGGCCAAUAUCUAAAUCAGAAGGCAACACCACUUCCUGCUGACUCGGCCUGGAGGAGUCGUCAAGUCCUCAUUAAUAGUAAGAGGUCUUAGGUGGCCAGAAUCUCAUCUAGGUUGUUGGCACAUUAAUUCCACAGACAUACUUCUUGCCCCGCAGCCCUAAGCCUGACCUGGGACCUGAAACAAAAAGUCUUCUAAGAGGUAGCUUAGACAAAGAUACAGUUCAAUAGGAACUGGGGGCAGGAUUCUCAUUUGAUUGGGGUAAUGUCAACUUGAGUUAAGUAGCAACCCACUGAACACCUGCUGACACCACACUUGCCUGAGAGCACGAUGCUCUGAGUGGUUCCCAAACCCCAGGGAGCUAUAUAGUUCCCUGUAGAGCGUGUUAUGCUGAUGGCUGGGCCCAUGCUGGCGUUUCUGACUCAGUGGGCCUGGGUCAGGGCCCUAGAAUCUGCAUUACUAACAAUUCCAGGUGAUGUGGAGGCUGCUGAUUGGGGAACACACUUGGACCACCACUGCUCCAAGCAGCCACCCCAUCGUCCAUGGGCUCAACUACUGGACUGUUAAAAAGAACUCUGCAUUGGGCCAUUUUGGCUCUGGUGACCCUAUAAUUGGGAGGACAACUUGACGCAGAGUGGAACUCGUGACGUGCCCUAGAAGAGAGGGCACCCGAGACCCCAAAAGAUGAAGCAGCCAGCAAGGGGACAAAGGAACCACACAUCUCAUUUACAACAGUUGGAGAAGACCAGAAGCCAACAGUCCAGAGUUUUGUAACACAGUCUGGAAUCAGCCAAGAUACCUCAUGUGAUAGGGCUGGCAGGUCAUUGGAAGUAGAAACCAGGUUUCCUAUAUUUUUAAAGUGGAAUUUCUCCUUUGAAUAAAGCCUCUGCCCUCAGAACAUAGAUGACUCAUCUUGCAUUUCUGGCUCCUCUGCUUUAGAAGACUUCACUGGGUUCAGAUUCCGGAAUAGCCGCUCAACAAUGCUCACCAUCGGCAUUCCGAGGGAGGGCAAAGAAGGAAGCUGGAGAUGAGAAGGGGCGGCACAGGACGGGUGGAGUAGCUGAGACAUGUGGUGCCUGGCAAACACUUAUCAAGGAAAGAUCUGAGGCUGUUUCAACUGCUAAUCUAAGACUUUAGAAGUCAGGCAACAUGACCCAAGAAUAAAGAGAAGCAGAGUCCUAGAGCUAUGGUGGUGGUUUAGUUGCUCAGUCAUGUUCAACUCUUGCGACCCCCUGGACUGUAGCCCGCCAUGCUCCUCUGUCCAUGGAAUUCUCUAGGCAAGAAUACUGGAGUGGGAAGAAUCCUAGAGCUAUAGGCUGAACCUAUUCAUGUUGACUCCUGUCUGAUUCAUCAGACAGGAAAGAGAUGUCAUGUCCCUCCCAGGAGUCAGUUGGACAGCAGGGCAGAGGGUGCAAUGGUACAAAUUGGAUGAAAUGUAAGCUGUGAUGGAUUAACCUUUAGCUUCCCACAUGGCAGAGCUAACUUUGAAGUUUUCCCUUCCACUGAGAUGUGAAAAGGAAGGGACAAAGUUCCCUCAACUUGACAAAGUUGCCCUAAUUGACUAUUCUGAUUAUCAGAAUUCCAUACCUACCUUUUCCUUGGUUAUCUGAGGUUUCAAAAGGCUAGUGGCACUCAGAGUACACCAUCAGGGGAGCACUCUUAGGUUCCCAGGUCAACUCCGUUCCCAAGGCCUUUGAAAUGAUUGUGAAUAUUAUUGAGCACUUCCCAUGGGGCCCUGCUGGGCUGAACUGUCUGCAACACUUCAUUUAAUCUUACAGCAGUCCAAUGAAGAAGUUAUUAUCAUUUUGCAGAAGAGGGAAGGCUAAGGGAGGUCAAGUUAACUCACUCAAGGCACGUGGCUAAGAGUUGGCAGAGUCUGAAAGGCAGAUUUUGAGUUCAGGUAGUCCUGAGUCCAUAGCCCAAGUACAUUGAUUAAGGAUGACUCAUUCCAUGUAAUCAUCCCAUGGUGUUGGAGAAGACUCUUGAGAGUCCCUUGGACUGCAAGAAGAACCAACCAGUCCAUCCUAAAGGAAAUCAGUCCUGAA